GUGCUUGCUUCGGCAGCACAUAUACUAAAAUUGGAAUGAUACAGAGAAGAUUAGCAUGGCCCCUUCACAAGGAUGACUCGCAAAUUUGUGAAGCGUUCCAUGUCCUC
ensembl:snRNA U6 U6 spliceosomal RNA